rnacentral:rRNA from 1 species
AUGAUUCCCCUCUCUGACGAGGAGAUUUUUGAAACUGUUCGUUCCGCUAACAUCAAUUCGGCCUCGGGACCAGACGGGUUCUCCAUUCCUUUCUUCAGGCAUUUCUGGCCCCAGCCGCGGGGCCUCAUUCACGCUAUCAUCCAAGGCUUCUGGUUGGGUACCGUCGACAUUUCUCGGCUAAACUACGCUAUCCUCACUCUCAUUCCUAAAGUUAAAGGGGCGGACAUGAUUUCUCAGUUUAGACCUAUAGCCCUCAUCAACAACUUCGCAAAAUUCCUGGCUAAAGGAUUUGCUACUAGGCUCUCUUCCAUCGCUCAUCUCACUCUUAGUCCCUUCCAAUCGGCUUUUGUCAAAGGUAGAUUCAUCCUGGAUGGCAUCCUUUGUCUUCAUGAGAUUGUUCAUGACCUACGAGUUCGUGGCUCUAAAGCGGUGAUUCUAAAGCUUGAUUUCGAGAAAGCCUACGAUUCGGUCAGUUGGAAUUUUCUUCGCUAGGUGUUACUGGCCAAGGGCUUUGAUGGGGCAGUGGUUCACAGACUCAUGCCGUUGGUCACGGGUGGCAACACUGCGGUCUCGGUAAAUGGGAACAUCAGUAAUUUUUUUGCCAAUGGUAGGGGCCUGAGGCAGGGUGACCCGGCUUCACCCCUGCUCUUUAACUUUGUGGCUGAUUCCCUCUCCCAUAUCCUGACUCGGGCUGCGGCUGCUGGUCAUAUCACCCCGGUCAGUUCCCAUCUUGCCCCUAAUGGCAUCUCCCACCUCCAAUAUGCAGACAAUACCAUUAUAAUGGUUGAACUGAAUGAUGAAUGUAUAUCUCACUUGAAGUUCCUUCUCCUUUGCUUUGAAGCUCUUUCUGGGCUCAAGAUCAACUUUGCUAAGAGUGAAGUGAUUGUUACUGGGGUCUCGGAUGUUGAGUGUUUGGGGAACAUAAUAUUUCAAAAAAAUUCCUACGAUCACGCAAGAUCUAUCUAG